AUCCCAAAUAAGCUGAGUUGAAGUGCUUAAAUGAUUCAUGGGAGGCCCAAAUCAAGCUUGUGGGGGUUUCGCUGAUAACACCCCUCUAUUUUUGCAAGGUGGUGUUUACUAGUGGCCUUUACCAUACAUUU